GGGGCUAUACAUGCAAGUCGAACGCACUCUCGUUUAGAUUGAAGGAGCUUGCUCCUGAUUGAUAAACAUUUGAGUGAGUGGCGGACGGGUGAGUAACACGUGGGUAACCUGCCCUAAAGUGGGGGAUAACAUUUGGAAACAGAUGCUAAUACCGCAUAAAACCUAACACCGCAUGGUGUAGGGUUGAAAGAUGGUUUCGGCUAUCACUUUAGGAUGGACCCGCGGUGCAUUAGUUAGUUGGUGAGGUAAAGGCUCACCAAGACCGUGAUGCAUAGCCGACCUGAGAGGGUAAUCGGCCACACUGGGACUGAGACACGGCCCAGACUCCUACGGGAGGCAGCAGUAGGGAAUCUUCCACAAUGGACGAAAGUCUGAUGGAGCAACGCCGCGUGAGUGAAGAAGGUUUUCGGAUCGUAAAACUCUGUUGUUGGAGAAGAAUGUAUCUGAUAGUAACUGAUCAGGUAGUGACGGUAUCCAACCAGAAAGCCACGGCUAACUACGUGCCAGCAGCCGCGGUAAUACGUAGGUGGCAAGCGUUGUCCGGAUUUAUUGGGCGUAAAGCGAGCGCAGGCGGUUUCUUAAGUCUGAUGUGAAAGCCUUCGGCUCAACCGAAGAAGUGCAUCGGAAACUGGGAAACUUGAGUGCAGAAGAGGACAGUGGAACUCCAUGUGUAGCGGUGAAAUGCGUAGAUAUAUGGAAGAACACCAGUGGCGAAGGCGGCUGUCUGGUCUGUAACUGACGCUGAGGCUCGAAAGCAUGGGUAGCAAACAGGAUUAGAUACCCUGGUAGUCCAUGCCGUAAACGAUGAGUGCUAGGUGUUGGAGGGUUUCCGCCCUUCAGUGCCGCAGCUAACGCAUUAAGCACUCCGCCUGGGGAGUACGACCGCAAGGUUGAAACUCAAAGGAAUUGACGGGGGCCCGCACAAGCGGUGGAGCAUGUGGUUUAAUUCGAAGCAACGCGAAGAACCUUACCAGGUCUUGACAUCCUUUGACCACUCUAGAGAUAGAGCUUUCCCUUCGGGGACAAAGUGACAGGUGGUGCAUGUUGUCGUCAGCUCGU
rnacentral:rRNA from 1 species